UACAGAGGGCGCAAGCGUUGUUCGGAAUUACUGGGCGUAAAGCGCGCGCAGGCGGAUGCGCAAGUCGGAAGUGAAAUCCCGGGGCUCAACUCCGGGGCUGCUCCCGAAACUGUGUGUCUAGAGACCGGUAGGGGCGGGUGGAAUUCCCGGUGUAGCGGUGGAAUGCGUAGAUAUCGGGAAGAACACCGGUGGCGAAGGCGGCCCGCUGGGCCGGAUCUGACGCUGAGGCGCGAAAGCGUGGGGAGCAAACAGG
rnacentral:misc_RNA from 1 species